rnacentral:rRNA from 1 species
UACGUAGGGUGCAAGCGUUAAUCGGAAUUACUGGGCGUAAAGCGCGCGCAGGCGGUUUUGUAAGUCUGACGUGAAAUCCCCGGGCUCAACCUGGGAAUUGCGUUGGAGACUGCAAGGCUUGAAUCUGGCAGAGGGGGGUAGAAUUCCACGUGUAGCAGUGAAAUGCGUAGAGAUGUGGAGGAACACCGAUGGCGAAGGCAGCCCCCUGGGUCAAGAUUGACGCUCAUGCACGAAAGCGUGGGGAGCAAACAGG